rnacentral:rRNA from 1 species
UCCAGAGGGUGCAAGCGUUGUUCGGAAUUAUUGGGCGUAAAGCGCGUGUAGGCGGCUUUGCAAGUCGGGCGUGAAAGCCCUCAGCUCAACUGAGGAAGUGCGCCCGAAACUGCAGAGCUUGAGUACCGGAGAGGAUGGCGGAAUUCCCCAAGUAGAGGUGAAAUGCGUAGAUAUCGGAAGGAACACCAGUGGCGAAAGCGGCUUCCUGGUCCAGCACCGACGUUCAGGCACGAAAGCGUGGGGAGCAAACAGG